rnacentral:lncRNA from 1 species
CUGUGGAGCCUGCGGAGGCUGCUUCUUGGACCCUGCUCCUAUCAGAGCAUACACCAAGCACUAAGCAGCCGAAUUCCGGCUCCCGGAACUGAGCCCGCGGGGACUGCUUCUUGGAGCCUACACUUAUAGGAGCUUACACCGAGCACGGAGCGGCCGAGUUCCGGCUCCCGGAACUUCCCUGGCCCUGGGCUAGGAGCCCGCGGAAACUGCUUCUCUCAGUCCGGGUCCUGCUGAGGGCCGGUCAGGACUCACCCGUUGCUUUGGUUGCCCGGCAAGGGGAACGAAAUGCUGCCAUUCGCAUAGGAUACCAACAUGGCAGAGAUCUGAUGUCAGCAGAAAGCGGUGGAGGAGAGAUCUUCAUCAAUACCAGCGGUGACAUAAGCAGUUGGUCUCCUGGUAAGGGGGGUGAGGCUCAGUCACCCGAGUCUCCUCAAUUUGUCCUCGAGCCAGAGGGAAGGAGCCGGGCCGCCGCCAGCCCCCGGAGCAGGCCCAGCGGCUCGCCAGCGUGGUGACCGCGUGACCCCAAUUGGAGAGGGGGCGGAGCGGAGCCGCC